AGCCUGUGAGCUACAAACAGCAUGUGGAUGAACACGCUGGGCUUUCACCUUUGGAAUCAUGCAGUGAUCCCAGAAGCACCCCUAAUGAUGCUGAAGAAGAAAGAGUUAAAAGACAAGACAAAAUAUAAAACAGCAUGUGAGCAUCUCUGGAGUUGGUGUCCCCAGAGUCCGCCUCCUGGAUAUUGCCAGCUGCCUGGACCAACCUUUCCGAAAGAUCAGCCAGGUCACAGUGAGGGUCAAAGCCCCCUUCCUCAGUCUCUUGCUCCAAAUCCUGGACCACACACUGCGUGCUAUGGCUCCAUUGCUGUGCUGGGUGAGGGGUGCAGGACUGUCCAGCUGAGAGCCACCCAGGAGGCCCACCCAGGAGACCCAGCCCAGGCCUCUCCCUGA
rnacentral:lncRNA from 1 species